rnacentral:rRNA from 1 species
UACGUAGGCAGCGAGCGUUGUUCGGAGUUACUGGGCGUAAAGAGUGCGUAGGCGGUUUUCUAAGUUUGGUAUGAAAUCUCCCGGCUCAACUGGGAGGGUGCGCCGAAGACUGGAAGGCUUGAGUAUGGGAGAGGUAAGCGGAAUUCCUGGUGUAGCGGUGAAAUGCGUAGAUAUCAGGAGGAACACCUGCGGUGUAGACGGCUUACUGGACCAUAACUGACGCUGAGGCACGAAAGCGUGGGUAGCAAACAGG